AAAAAGCAUGUCACCAGUUAGUUCCAAAACCACCGCGCUAUCCCUGGAGAAGUAUGUCUUCAUCUUUGCUUCAGACACUAAAAUUGGUUGCACGUUAGCUGCAUCUUCAACUAUUCUAGGAACUCUUAGUCAGAUUAUCUUCGCAUUACCUCCAGUAGCCGGAUCUUGGAUGGAAGCCCUAUAUAUUCCACGCAUAAGCUCUUGUCAGGUGGGUCUGAUGCAUUCGUCGAGACUCCCGUGGUUAGGCAUCAGCAUCAGCCUUAUUAUGAACUCCUUGUAGAAGUCCACAUCCCCAC
rnacentral:lncRNA from 1 species